AUAUCAGUCAUGCAUAGCAUAUCAAUAAGCGGAGGAAAAGAAACUAACAAGGAUUCCCCUAGUAACUGCGAGUGAAGCGGGAAGAGCUCAAAUUUGAAAUCUUAAAAGGUUUUCCUUUUACGAAUUGUAGUUUAAAGAAGUGUUUUCUGUUGAAAUUUUAGUAAAAGUUCUUUGGAAUAGGACAUCAUAGAGGGUGAGAAUCCCGUAUUUGACUAGAAUUUUUUAACUUUGUGAUACACUUUCAAAGAGUCGGAUUGUUUGGGAAUGCAGUCCAAAAUGGGUGGUAAAUUUCAUCUAAAGCUAAAUAUUGGCGAGAGACCGAUAGCGAACAAGUACCGUGAGGGAAAGAUGAAAAGAACUUUGAAAAGAGAGUUAAAUAGUACGUGAAAUUGUCAAAAGGGAAGCGUUUGGCACCAGUGUUGUUUUUCUAAAAAUCAAUUUAAAAUUUAGCUCAUGUUAAGUAUUUUAGACUUUAAUCAGGCUAUAUAAUUUAGUUUUUUGUAAUUUUUGAAUGCACUUUUUAGUUAACAAGUCAACAUCAAUUUCUUUUGUUGUAAAAAGAAUAAGAGGAAGGUGGCUUGGAUUUAGUUUCAAGUGUUUAUAGCCUUUUAUUUAUGCAAUAGGAGGGAUUGAGGUCUGCAGCAUAGAUCCUUCGGGGCUAGAUGCAUUUGUGCUAAGAAGUCCAGUAUUAUAUAAACAACUUGUUGAUUAUAGUAGUAUGUUGAUUUCUACUCGCGGAGUGUUAUUUUACCUACGCUUAGGAUGUUGAGGCAUGAGAUAUACGC
rnacentral:rRNA from 1 species